AUUCUGGUUGAUCCUGCCAGUAGUUAUAUGCUUGUCUCAAAGAUUAAGCCAUGCAUGUCUAAGUACACACGAAUUAAAAGUGAAACCCGCAAAAGGCUCAUUAUAUCAGUUAUGGUUCCUUAGAUCGUUAACAGUUACUUGGAUAACUGUGGUAAUUCUAGAGCUAAUACAUGCAAAUUAAAACACGGACCUUAUGGGACGUGUGCUUUUAUUAGGCUAAAACCAAGCGAUCGUAAGGAUCGUUUACAUUGGUUGAACUCUAGAUAACCAUGCAGAUCGUAUGGUCUUGUACCCGACGACAGAUCUUUUCAAAUGUCUGCCCCUAUCAACUUUUUGAUGGUAGUAUCCUAGGACUACCCAUGGUUGCAACGGGGUAACGGGGAAUCAGGGUUCGAUUCCCGGAGACGGGAGCCUGAGAAACGGGCUACCCACAUCUAAAGGAAAGGCAGCAGGGCGCGUAAAUUACCCACUCCCAGCUCGGGGGAGGUAGUGACGGAAAAAUUAACAAUUACAGGAACUCAUAAUCCCGAGGUCCCUGUAAUUGGAAAUGAGUACACUUUAAAAUCCUUUAACAAGGACCAAUUGGAUGGGCAAGUCUGGGUGCCAGCAGCCGCGGUAAUUUCCAGCUCCCAAUAGCGUAUAUUAAAGUAGUUGUGUUGCGGUUAAAACGUUCGUAGUUGAACUUGUGCUUCAUACGGGUAGUACAACUUACAAAUUGUGGUUAGUACUAUACCCUUUAUGUAUGUAAGCGUAUUACCGGUGGAGUUCUUAUAUAUAAUUAAGUACUUGUAUUUUUUUUAUAUAUUCCUCCUAUUUAAAAACCUGCAUUAGUGCUCUUCAUCGAGUGUUAUUGUGGGCCGGUACAAUUACUUUGAACAAAUUAGAGUGCUUAAAGCAGGCUUCAAAUGCCUGAAUAUUCUGUGCAUGGGAUAAUGAAAUAAGACCUACUGUUCUGCUUUCAUUGGUUUUCAGAUCAACGAGGUAAUGAUUAAUAGAAGCAGUUUGGGGGCAGUUAGUAUUACGACGCGAGAGGUGAAAUUCUUGGACCGUCGUAAGACUAACUUAAGCGAAAGCAUUUGCCAAAGAUGUUUUCAUUAAUCAAGAACGAAAGUUAGAGGUUCGAAGGCGAUCAGAUACCGGCCCUAGUUCUAACCAUAAACGAUGCCAGCUAGCAAUUGGGUGUAGCUACUUUUAUGGCUCUCUCAGUCGCUUCCCGGGAAACCAAAGCUUUUGGGCUCCGGGGGAAGUAUGGUUGCAAAGCUGAAACUUAAAGGAAUUGACCGGAAGGGCACCACCAGGAGUGGAGCCUGCGGCUUAAUUUGACUCAACACGGGAAAACUUACCAGGUCCGAACAUAAGUGUGUAAGACAGAUUGAUAGCUCUUCUCUCGAAUCUAUGGGUGGUGGUGCAU
rfam:Drosophila persimilis strain MSH-3 cont1.012289, whole genome shotgun sequence.